UGGAAUCGCGAACCCCUCCCUUUAGCUAUGUCUUCUGAAUAGCUGCUUGCAACCUUGAAGCUCUAGUGGAUUGCCGACCUCGAAAAGAAAUGGAGACAAUUGUUAUUCUCGUGUGCUACAAUGGAAAAUGGGUCACCUCGAAGAAGAUGUGCAAAUACGAAGGGGGUGACU